AGGUUGUUGGCCUGCCGGGGCCUCCGUAGUUCAAUUCACGCAUGCACAGUUGCGCGAGGAGGACGACGGUGUUGUUCCUGUAUGGCAAAUCAAUGGACAUGAGGAAGGACAUGUCUUCAGCAUCUGGAGUCAUACAAGCACACUUCCAGAAGCCAGCACACAGCUGUAUGUGAGCAUACGCUGCAUAACACUCUCUUCUCAAAUGCUUUGCCAAGGACAGAUCGAAUUACUCUUAUACAGAAGGAUAUUUUUUUUUUUUUUUAGAAAGGCUGGGAUCUGUUUGCAUAGUGAAAGUUGAAUGAGCUCCUUACAAGGAAGAAUAAACAAUGGCCAUGUAUGCAGUGGUAGCAAAACUAAUAAACCAUUAAUUAUCUCUUAUCAUA